rnacentral:rRNA from 1 species
UACGGAGGGUGCAAGCGUUAUCCGGAUUCACUGGGUUUAAAGGGUGCGUAGGCGGAUUGGUAAGUCCGUGGUGAAAUCUCCAAGCUUAACUUGGAAACUGCCGUGGAUACUCUCAAUCUUGAAUAUAGUGGAGGUGAGCGGAAUAUGUCAUGUAGCGGUGAAAUGCUUAGAUAUGACAUAGAACACCCAUUGCGAAAGGCAGCUCGCUACACUAUCAUUGACGCUGAGGCACGAAAGCGUGGGGAUCAAACAGG